CUAGCUUGCUAAUAAUUCUCUAGUGGCGCACGGGUGAGUAACACGUGAGUACCUGCCCCCAAGAGUGGGAUAGCCCCGGGAAACUGGGAUUAAUACCGCAUAAAGCAAUAAAGCAGCAAUGCGCUUGGGGAUGGGCUCGCGUCCUAUUAGUUAGUUGGUGAGGUAACGGCUCACCAAGGCGAUGACGGGUAGCCGGUCUGAGAGGAUGUCCGGCCACACUGGAACUGAGACACGGUCCAGACACCUACGGGUGGCAGCAGUCGAGAAUCAUUCACAAUGGGGGAAACCCUGAUGGUGCGACGCCGCGUGGGGGAUAAGGUCUUCGGAUUGUAAACCCCUGUCAUGUGGGACAUUAAAAGAUAGUACCACAAGAGGAAGAGACGGCUAACUCUGUGCCAGCAGCCGCGGUAAUACAGAGGUCUCAAGCGUUGUUCGGAAUCACUGGGCGUAAAGCGUGCGUAGGCGGUUUCGUAAGUCGUGUGUGAAAGGCGGGGGCUCAACCCCCGGACUGCACAUGAUACUGCGAGACUAGAGUAAUGGAGGGGGAACCGGAAUUCUCGGUGUAGCAGUGAAAUGCGUAGAUAUCGAGAGGAACACUCGUGGCGAAGGCGGGUUCCUGGACAUUAACUGACGCUGAGGCACGAAGGCCAGGGGAGCGAAAGGGAUUAGAUACCCCUGUAGU
rnacentral:rRNA from 1 species